AUUGAACGCUGGCGGCAGGCCUAACACAUGCAAGUCGAGCGGAUGAAGGGAGCUUGCUCCUGGAUUCAGCGGCGGACGGGUGAGUAAUGCCUAGGAAUCUGCCUGGUAGUGGGGGAUAACGUCCGGAAACGGGCGCUAAUACCGCAUACGUCCUGAGGGAGAAAGUGGGGGAUCUUCGGGCCUCACGCUAUCAGAUGAGCCUAGGUCGGAUUAGCUAGUUGGUGGGGUAAAGGCCUACCAAGGCGACGAUCCGUAACUGGUCUGAGAGGAUGAUCAGUCACACUGGAACUGAGACACGGUCCAGACUCCUACGGGAGGCAGCAGUGGGGAAUAUUGGACGAUGGGCGAAAGCCUGAUCCAGCCAUGCCGCGUGUGUGAAGAAGGUCUUCGGAUUGUAAAGCACUUUAAGUUGGGAGGAGGGGCAGUAAGUUAAUACCUUGCUGUUUUGACGUUACCAACAGAAUAAGCACCGGCUAACUUCGUG
rnacentral:rRNA from 1 species